GAUGAACGCUAGCGGCAGGCUUAAUACAUGCAAGUCGAGGGGCAGCAUGAAUGUAGCAAUACAUUUGAUGGCGACCGGCAAACGGGUGCGGAACACGUACACAACCUUCCUAUAAGUGGGGGAUAGCCCAGAGAAAUUUGGAUUAAUACCCCGUAACAUAAUGAUGUGGCAUCACAUUAUUAUUAUAGCUACGGCGCUUGUUGAUGGGUGUGCGGCUGAUUAGAUAGUUGGCGGGGUAACGGCCCACCAAGUCUACGAUCAGUAGCUGAUGUGAGAGCAUGAUCAGCCACACGGGUACCGAGACACGGGCCCGACUCCUACGGGAGGCAGCAGUAAGGAAUAUUGGUCAAUGGACGCAAGUCUGAACCAGCCAUGCCGCGUGAAGGAUUAAGGUCCUCUGGAUUGUAAACUUCUUUUAUCUGGGACGAAAAAAGGCUAUUCUUAGUCACUUGACGGUACCAGAUGAAUAAGCACCGGCUAACUCCGUGCCAGCCGCCGCAGUAAUAC
rnacentral:rRNA from 1 species